AACGCGAAGAACCUUACCUGGAUUUGACAUCUCCUGACAAACGUAGAGAUACGUCUUUUGUAGCAAUACAACAGGAAGACAGGUGCUGCAUGGCUGUCGUCAGCUCGUGGGGUGACCUGUUGGGUUAAGUCCCGCAACGAGCGCAACCCUUGUCCUUAGUUGCCAGCAUUUAGUUGGGCACUCUAAGGAGACUGCCGUGGUUAACACGGAGGAAGGUGGGGAUGACGUCAAGUCCUCAUGGCCUUUAUAUCCAGGGCGACACACGUGAUACAAUGGAUGGUACAGAGGGAUGCGAGAGGGAGACCUGGAGCAAAUCUCAAAAAGCCAUUCUCAGUUCGGAUUGGAGUCUGCAACUCGACUCCAUGAAGUUGGAAUCGCUAGUAAUCGCGGAUCAGCACGCCGCGGUGAAUACGUUCCCGGGCCUUGUACACACCGAGACGUA
rnacentral:rRNA from 1 species